CAGUCAAAUGAGAGCUAAAUUAUUGACUAUGUAAUCUUUGGCUUGUUAAAAAUAAAUAUAUAAAUUAAAGUUAGGAAGGUUAGGUUAGGAAGGUUGUUAGGAACGUUAGGUUAGAAAGGUCAAAGGUUAAGUAAUGACAGUAUAGUGUUAGGAAAGUUAUGUUGAAGGUCAGAGGUCAG